rnacentral:rRNA from 1 species
GUAGGUGGCAAGCGUUGUCCGGAAUUAUUGGGCGUAAAGCGCGCGCAGGCGGUUCUUUAAGUCUGAUGUGAAAGCCCACGGCUCAACCGUGGAGGGUCAUUGGAAACUGGGGAACUUGAGUACAGAAGAGGAAAGCGGAAUCCACGUGUAGCGGUGAAAUGCGUAGAGAUGUGGAGGAACACCAGUGGCGAAGGCGGCUUUCUGGUCUGUAACUGACGCUGAGGCGCGAAAGCGUGGGGAGCAAACAGGGAUUAGAUACCCUGGUAGUCCACGCCGUAAACGAUGAGUGCUAAGUGUUAGGGGGUUUCCGCCCCCUUAGUGCUGCAGCUAACGCAUUAAGCACUCCGCCUGGGGAUACGGCCGCAAGGCUG